CUGCAUGGCUGUCGUCAGCUCGUGCCGUGAGGUGUUGGGUUAAGUCCCCGCAACGAGCGCAACCCCUAUCUUAGUUGCCAUCAGUUCGGCUGGGCACUCUAUGGAGACUGCCACCUAAAGUGGAGGAAGUGGGGAUGACGUCAAGUCAGCAUGGCCCUUACGGCCUGGGCUACACACGUGCUACAAUGGUCGGUACAAAGGGUUGCCAAGCCGCGAGGUGGAGCUAAUCCCAUAAAACCGAUCGUAGUCCGGAUCGCAGUCUGCAACUCGACUGCGUGAAGUCGGAAUCGCUAGUAAUCGUGAAUCAGAAUGUCACGGUGAAUACGUUCCCGGGCCUU
rnacentral:rRNA from 1 species